GGCCUCAGCUCUGGGCCUCUUAAAGAUUCUCCCCACCUGGCUCACCCCUGAAGCUAGACCCAGACAAGCCCUCAACCUCCCAAACCGAAACAGAGGAAAGAACAGGACCCACUGCCAGCUUCUCCAGCCUUUUGGCACAUGGACGGUGCUUCAGGAACGCUUCCACUGGAUCCUCGCUGCGGGCGCCUCCCGGCCGGGAGCUUUCAGGAAGGAAGGCCCGGCCAGGGCAGCCUGCACAGCCCCUGUCUAUGCCCAGCGCAGGGUCACCUCUGCAGAAACCUGGACCCAGACCUCAGGCUGGUCUCCACUUAGGUCUCAUUUGUGCCACAUCUCCUGGGCUGUUCCUCAGAGACAGUGCGAGUCCAGGUAAUGGAACCUCUACCCUCCCCUGUCUUUCGGUGUCGGAGAGCGUGAGUGAGGCUCCGGAGAGUGGGAGCCGGGCCGCACGUGCACAUGGAGCCGCAGAGGGAGGAGGGACAGCAGGCUUCUCCCUGGCCAGAGCGGUGAGGACACAUCUCACACGCACCUCCAUCCUGCAGAGCGAGUGGCCGGCCGGCCUCCCUCGCCUGGAUCACAGCGGCAGGUGACACGCCCAGAAGCCCUCCUCUGCACCCGAUGGGGCAGCCCUGGGCUGGAGGUCCCCUCAGCCACCCACCGUGGCCGCCGGAACUGCGGGGGGAAAAUCACCAGGCCAAAGGAAGUCAAUGAUUUCAGCAAACGGAAUUUCUUUGUCCUUCGUAAAAGUCAACACAUGAUCUGUUCCUGAUUGGGAUGUGAAAUAAAACUAAAAAUAACAGCA